CAUAGCGACUAUCGUGGCAUAUCAAUAAGCGGAGGAAAAGAAACUAACAAGGAUUCCCUUAGUAACGGCGAGUGAAGCGGGAAGAGCUCAAAUUUGAAAUCUUCAAGGUUCUACCUUGACGAAUUGUAGUUUAUAGAAGUGUUUUCUGUUAGUAGAGUGGCAAAGUUCUUUGGAAUAGGACAUCAUAGAGGGUGAGAAUCCCGUAUUUGGUCAUUCUUUCUAGCUUUGUGAUACACUUUCAACGAGUCGGACUGUUUGGGAAUGCAGUCCAAAAUGGGUGGUAAAUUUCAUCUAAAGCUAAAUAUUGGCGAGAGACCGAUAGCGAACAAGUACCGUGAGGGAAAGAUGAAAAGAACUUUGAAAAGAGAGUUAAACAGUACGUGAAAUUGUCAAAAGGGAAGCGUUUGACACCAGUGUUGUUUUUCCGAAAAUCAAUUACGAAUGUUUUAUUUUUGAGAAGUUAUGACUUCAUCGGCUUGCUCCUUCUCUUUAUGAAACUUUCUUAAUGCACUUUUCGGUUAACAAGUCAACAUCAAUUUCUUUUGUUGUAAAAGGGUAUGAGGAAGGUGGCUUUCUUUUCGGAGAAAGUGUUUAUAGCCUUGUACCUCUGCAAUCGGAGAGAUUGAGGUCUGCAGCGUAGAUCCUUCGGGGUUAGAUACAUUUGUGCUAAGUUAUAGCUUUUCAUAGACAACUUGUUGACUAUGUUUAGUCUUGUAGCUUACUCGCUUACGCUAUUUUACCUACGCUUAGGAUGUUGAUAGUCACAGCGUGUAC
rnacentral:rRNA from 1 species